GCCUAACUAAACAAACUCUUAGAUAGUUGUGGGUGUGUUUAAUGUCCUACACAGCAACUCAAAGCUUUGACUUAGGAAGGUAAAUCGAUCAGGAUGUUCGCAAGCUUGUACAUUCUCGGAAACUCUAUCCAACUUUAGGAAAAGUUUAGAAGAAUAGGCUUUGAAGUGGAGACAACAGAAAGAUAACAGCAUAUUAAACCCCACACAUAAACACAAAGGACAGUGGAGAAGUAAUAAAUUCGAAUCAGUGGCGGAUCCAAGGGGGUAUGAAACCCCUUUUUUAACGAUCAAUGCUUUUGAAUGGGGACAUAUGGUUGGAACCCCCAUUUAUCCUAGGUCGGAACCUCCUCCCCCACCGUUUUUUAUGACUGGAUCCGCCUUUGCGGAGGACUUUUUAUAAUACAAAAGUUUGAACAAAGAACAAUCAGUUUUUUUUUCUGAGUAGAACAUCAACUACUUCAUAGAAUAACUAGUCAGCCA
rnacentral:lncRNA from 1 species